CUGCGCCACGAAGCCGCACGUUCUGAGGGUUACACACGCACACCACAAUCCGUUCAGUACACGGUACACCGCACGAAAGAACGAACGGCAGAUAUAGAUAGACUUUCUAUGUGUGUACACACGGGACUAUACAAACUGCAAGUGUGUACGCGUAGGAGAAACAGCACACACAGACACACGAACGUAACGGUGUGUAGUAAUAACAACGAGCACGCAGGCCAACGAGAAACGAAUGUGCCUCCCGUGGGACACGAUUAAACGACGUUCUUCUAGACCGGCAGAGAGAAAAGGCGCCCGCACCCGAACCUCUCACCUCGUCACGAUGUUUCUACUAUCACCCGAGACGGUCGCGGCCCGUUCGAACACUCUGGCCACGUUAAAAUAAACGCGGAGCGCUAUACCCAGCGCACGGUGCUCUUGAAAAUCAAUCUAAAAGUGGAUCGGCUGGUGGCGCAAUCUCCUGGCUAACCUCUGGACCGACUCGCGAACAAGUGAACGACGCCUGCCGUACUGAUAACGAACAGUGUCUCUACUUUUGCCUUAUCGCGAUGCGCGCGCAUCCGUCCCCCGACCUCCCACACCGCCCAUCCACGAACGUUUCUCAGCCAUGAUCAGCAGUUUUCGUUUCGUUAAAUCUUUGCUCACGAUAUCUCUUUCCUUUUUCUUUAUUUCACGUUAUUUUUCCUCAUUUAAUGAUCAAGUGUUUUCCUCGCUUAAAUCUUUUUAAAUUUCUAGCUUGCGUUCGUUAAGUUCGGUGCUCUGUGUGCGUUUCGAAGUUGAAAACGCUGACGUUCGCUCCUUUCUACAAAUGUAUAGACAUUUUUGUUAUUUAUAAUGUUAUGUAUAAUAUUUUUGUUAUUUCCUAUAUGCUAUAGUUACUUAUAAUGGGUGUUAUAAUGUUAAUUUUCAAUAGCUUAUAACUAGAUUGCAGAUGCUUAUUAUAUAGGUUCAAGUGUACAAAAAUGUACAAAAUAUCUAUGUUUAUAAUAUUUAGGAGAUCCUAUUUUGUUAGUUGUAUUUCAUAAAAAUAUAGAUUUGCAUAAAUAUGUUCAGUCUACUUACAACCGCACAAUCUAAAACAGUGAAUCAAUGAAAAAAAGUAUAAGUAAAAGUCGUAUAAAAGAUGUAAAGUUAUUAGAUUAAUGGAAGUAUCGUAUAUCACGUAAUCAAUCAUUGGUCAAUGAUUAUAUGCAUGAAAAUAAACUAAGAUUCAUAUAUUUAUGUGAAGAAACUUCUACUAUAUUGAAUACUCAAAUACUUUAUAUAUCAUUAUUUAUGUACAAAUUCAUGAAAUAUAAAGCAGAUUACAGCUUUAAUGACUUAUGCUGCAUAAUAAUACUUCAGGAGUGGAAGACCACCUACGAUGCCUAGCUUUUUCCGCUGGUACCACCGGUAAACCCACCUCUUGAUGACAACCUCUUAUAGGAGAAAUUGGCAGAACGUUAGGUACUAAGGUGUUAAAAAUGGCAGUGGAAUAUUUUUCGUGGACAGACGGUGAAGUAUUCAAGGAAUGGGGAUAAGUUGCCAUUGCAAUGUUUCAACCUGUGUCUGCAAGAAAACAUUGUCUACUACUUGUACGUGAGGUAUUUGAUUGGUCGCUAAAAUGUUCUGAAGUCUUCGGUUCUCUUCUAUCAACGAUCGGUAUUGCUGAAACAAAAAACAAAAAUGACGAAAUUAGUUAACGAUAAUUAUCGGUGUUUUCUUUUUAAAUUCAAUUUCUUACUUUUAUCGCACUUUAAGUUUAACGAGGAAAGUGUCCAGCUCUCGAACGACUUUCCUGAACGUAAUCGUUUCAAAAGAAGAAAGAAGCGACGUGGUACGACGUAUAUACACGCGUUAAUACAAGGUUUCACCUUGCGUAGGAGAUUUUCACACGGUGGAGUGAACACGAUUCGACGUUAGCAGAGCGUAUGCCUAUUUAUUUUACGGACAUUGCUUUACCAACAGCGGUAUAUUUUAUUUUAAAUAAUACAUUGCUCUAAUCACCGUUAAACGUAAGAGAAACGUUAAAUAUUUGCAUCAUUAAUUACCUUAAACUUUUUGUCGAUUAUCUAAUUAAUAUUCUAGCGUCUUCAUUUUAUAAAAUAAUAUUCCAGGUACAAUAUUGCAUAAGUCUAUGAAAUACAAAUGUAUACAACCGUAUUAACAUAUUAAACAUAUUAUACAAAAUGUAUAAUAAAAUAAUAAGAUUUAAAGGUGAACUCUAGAUAAAUAAAUUAAGGAAGAAAUAUUCCGGAAUUUGUAUUAAAUUUAUUAUAUGCUUAUUAAUAUGACUACCAGGUUUCUAAUUGAUAUUCUAGAGCUAUUAUUUUAUAAAAUAAUAUUCUACAGAAUUUCCAGCAAAUUUAUUACCACGAUAUUCCAAAAUUUCCUUUAGACCUAAUCAACCUUCUAAAAUAUCUGCUAGAUUUCUGACUAUUAUCCUGAAGAACUUAUUUACAUCCUGAAACAACAUUUCAGGAUUUUCGCUAGAAUUACAGCCAAUAUCAACAAAUAUUUAACAUAUCCGUGAUAAAUAUUUAAAAAAUCUCCUGCUAAACUCGUAUCAUCAAGAAACAUCCAAUAACGGAUCAAUAGCAAAUUUCCCCCCCAAGAAUAGAAAUCUUUACCAUACUGAAAAUAAUCAAACAACCCAACAUUAAUGAUCCUAUUCGGUCAACAUCCUCGGAAGUCUUUUAAAACGCCAUCUAAUACACCCCAACAGAAUUCUAAUAGAAGUCGAAUAGAAAACGCACAAAGAGGACUGGAGUUUUCCGCGAGUCCAGUCACGAAGUCGUCAUUGAGCAAACAAUUAGACAUCGGCGAACAGUUACUUGGACAAGUUGAAAAGGUUCGAGCAUCGAUGAUGCACCGCCAUUCGAACGGAUAGGCCCUUUAACAUUUGCAUAUUUCUUUCUUUUCGGUGGCCGAGUCGCGGACACCGGGAAUAAAAGAAGUUCGAAGAAACACGAGGUUUCUGACAUUUCCAUACAAUGGCGGGAAAAAUACGGUACGAGUUGCGAGAUAUCCGGCGAUGGGCCAUGCCUGAUAACGAAGCCAGGACGCGCGAGAUGUUGAAAGAAUCAUGCGUUCAUCGUUCGGUCGCCACGCGUUCAACUAUCACUGUUAUUAGAAUCAUCAG